rnacentral:rRNA from 1 species
CCUACGGGAGGCAGCAGUGAGGAAUAUUGGUCAAUGGGAGAGAUCCUGAACCAGCCAAGCCGCGUGAAGGAAGACGGCCCUAUGGGUUGUAAACCUCUUUUGUCGGAGAACAAAACCCGGGACGUGUCCCGGCCUGCGUGUAUUCGAAGAAAAAGCAUCGGCUAACUCCGUGCCAGCAGCCGCGGUAAUACGGAGGAUGCGAGCGUUAUCCGGAUUUAUUGGGUUUAAAGGGUGCGUAGGCGGUUCGUUAAGUCAGCGGUAAAAUUGGGGGGCUCAACCCCAUAGAGCCGUUGAAACUGGCAGACUUGAGUACGGGGAAAGCAGGCGGAAUUCGUGGUGUAGCGGUGAAAUGCUUAGAUAUGACGAAGAACCCCGAUUGCGAAGGCAGCUUGCUGCAGCGGAACUGACGCUGAUGCUCGAAAGUGCGGGUAUCGAACAGGAUUAGAUACCCGAGUAGUC